rnacentral:rRNA from 1 species
GAAAGCUAGGGGAACAAACAGGAUUAGAUACCCUGGUAGUCCUAGCUGUAAACGGUGUGCAGUUGGUGUGGGGGGAAUUGACCCCCAACGUGCCGGAGCUAACGUGUUAAGUGCACCGCCUGGGGAGUACGGCCGCAAGGUUAAAACUCAAAGAAAUUGACGGGGGCCCGCACAAGCGGAGGAACAUGUGCCUCAAUUCGAUGCAACGCGAAGAACCUUACCAGGGCUUGACAUGCAGCUGCACGGCCGGUGAAUGCCGGUUUCCUUCGAGGGUGCUGCACAGGUGCUGCAUGGCGGUCGUCAGUUCGUGCUGUGAGGUGUUGGGUUAAGUCCCGCAACGAACGCAACCGUUGUGUUUAGUUGCCACCGGCGGUGAUGAGCCGUCGAGCACUCUAAAUAGACUGCCCGUACAAGCGGGAGGAAGGUGGGGAUAACGUCAAGUCAGUAUGGCCAUUACGCCCUGGGCUGCACACGUGGUACGAUGGCCGGUACAGAGGGAU